rnacentral:rRNA from 1 species
GGACGAACGCUGGCGGCGUGCCUAAUACAUGCAAGUCGAGCGGACCGGAUUGGGGCUUGCCUUGAUUCGGUCAGCGGCGGACGGGUGAGUAACACGUGGGCAACCUGCCCGCAAGACCGGGAUAACUCCGGGAAACCGGAGCUAAUACCGGAUAACACCGAAGACCGCAUGGUCUUCGGUUGAAAGGCGGCCUUUGGGCUGUCACUUGCGGAUGGGCCCGCGGCGCAUUAGCUAGUUGGUGAGGUAACGGCUCACCAAGGCGACGAUGCGUAGCCGGCCUGAGAGGGUGACCGGCCACACUGGGACUGAGACACGGCCCAGACUCCUACGGGAGGCAGCAGUAGGGAAUCUUCCGCAAUGGGCGAAAGCCUGACGGAGCGACGCCGCGUGAGCGAAGAAGGCCUUCGGGUCGUAAAGCUCUGUUGCGAGGGACGAAGGAGCGUCGUUCGAAGAGGGCGGCGCGGUGACGGUACCUCACGAGAAAGCCCCGGCUAACUACGUG